rnacentral:tRNA from 1 species
GGGCGGCUAGCUCAGUUGGCUAGAGCAUCUCGUUUACACCGAGAGGGUCGGGGGUUCGAGUCCCUCGCCGCCCACCA